AGGGACAAACAAAACUGGUUUUCACAAUGGUUUGACAGAAAACAUUUGAUUAUUCUGAGAUCAUUGUGAAAGCUGUUUCUGUAGU
rnacentral:pre_miRNA from 1 species